AAUUUGCAUAUAAGCUAUUACAAGUCAUAUAAUCGAUCCCUAGACUAUCCGAACUAUCACCACCCAUCAUCCCGGCCUUGAGUCUCUCGCGCCUAAGCCAAGUCCUUCCCACGAUCACCAUUCGUUCCUGAAAGUCAUAGAGCCAUAAGUAAUCUUAUUUACUUAAUCAUAUGCAAGUCCAUGCAAUGCUCUAUAUGCCAUACACUACUCGGAUCCGUGGAGAGAAUUCAGAGAGGGGAAGAUCGCGCAUCAGUCUGGCCGAUUCUCGGCAGGUCAGUUAAGACCCGCCGGUCCUCCGCCGAGCCGCGUCCCCGCCUCAGCCGAUCCCUACCCGGACCGAGUCUUGUGUAGGAUGCACAUGACCCGGAUACUACUCAGCCCUCUAGUCGGUCCUUUCAAGGAUCCGACUACUAACUCACAUCCUAGAACCCUUAGACUCAAAGUCUAGGAUCCCUUACCUUCCUUCUCGAGGUUAGGUCGAUCCGACCCUCCUUCUUUAUUGCCGGCCACAGCCCGGCUACCGAAUCCUAAAACUAAUUAUUCUCCCAAGAGGGAGAGAGUUUUAAUGGUGAGUUUUCUUGUGUUUUCGGUGUGUUGUGGUGAGUGGAAUGGUCCUGGGCGCCCUUCCUUAUAUAGGGGGCGAAUGGAUGCUUUCCGAAUCAACACAUCCGUUCCUUGCACCUUUCCGAAGAGUUGCACCUUUCCGAAGAGUUGCGCCCUUCCGAAGAGUUGCACCUUUCCGAAGAGUUGUAUCUCUUCGCCCAUAACCGCCCAGUUCGUCCGUCACCCGUCCAGCUACCUCGAGCUCGUCCGUCACUCGUCCAGCUACCUCGAGUUCAACCGUCACUCGUCCAGCUGCCUCGAGCUCGUCCGUCACUCGUCCAGCUGCCCGAGCUGGACUGUCACUCGACCUGAGUAACCGUCACUCCUUCCAGCUGAGCUUGAGCUUUGGGCGAGCUGACCCAAGUGAUUUCUUUACGAUCCUAGCUUAGCCUGCAUGAUUUCCCCUUUGUCCGAGCUUAUGGCCAGCUCCUUCUCACUUGUCCGAGACUCCACCUUCCUCUCUCGGUCCAAGUCCUAGCCAACGAUCCUAUUGAGGAUCGCGGGCAUUACAAGUCUCCCCCCCUUGAAUUGGAUUCGUCCUCGAAUCCGCAUCAAGUUGAUCUUUACCCAUCUCCUUGAACCACUCCGGAAAAUUGGCCUUCAUCUUAUUCUCGGUUUCCCAA
rnacentral:sRNA from 1 species